CCUACGGGAGGCAGCAGUAGGGAAUCUUCCGCAAUGGGCGAAAGCCUGACGGAGCAACGCCGCGUGAGUGAUGAAGGUCUUCGGUAUACGUAAAACUCUGUUA
rnacentral:rRNA from 1 species